AUAACAUCCGGAAACGGGUGCUAAUACCGCAUAGUUUCUUGAUCGCAUGAUUGAGAAAGGAAAGACGGCCUUUGUGCUGUCGCUUAUGGAUGGACCCGCGGCGUAUUAGUUAGUUGGUGAGGUAACGGCUCACCAAGACGAUGAUACGUAGCCGACCUGAGAGGGUGAUCGGCCACAUUGGGACUGAGACACGGCCCAAACUCCUACGGGAGGCAGCAGUAGGGAAUCUUCCGCAAUGGACGAAAGUCUGACGGAGCAACGCCGCGUGAGUGAAAAGAAGGUUUUCGGAUCGUAAAACUCUGUUGUCAGGAGAAGAACAAGUUGGAGAGUAACUGCUCCAGCCUUGACGGUAUCUGACCAGAAAGCCACGGCUAACUACGUGCCAGCCGCCGC
rnacentral:rRNA from 1 species